UCGACCAAAUCGCUUCCGUUAAAAUCCGAGUGCCGAUACCUUCCCCUCCUCUCUCUCUCUCUCGCUCGCUCGCUCUCUCCCUCGUUGGGAUUUCCUCUUCCAUAGGCCGUGGGAGUAGUUACAGUAGCGGAAAGAGAGAAGGGGUUCCUUUGUGCUCUAUUGAGGGGAAGUUCUUUGGUGAUGGAGGCCUCGAAGCUACUGAUAGCUUCGAUCGCGAUCUCCCUCGUGUUUGUCGGGGUUUGGGCGGACGCGGGGGCCGAAGAGGAGGCGGUCGUCGUCGAACCAGAUGUCUCAGAUUCGGUGCUCAAGUUGGAAUUGGAGCAGCUUAGGUCCAAGAUCUCCGCCCUAGAAUCUAGUAUUUUGGAUAAAACACGUGAAUUGAAGAGCAAAGAUGAGAACAUUGCGCAUUUGGAAAAGAUCAUCGAAGAGAAGUCAGUCAGCAUUUUAUCAUUGCAGAGCGAGAUAGAAUCAGUCCAGAGGAAAGGAGCUGUAGAUGCUGAGGAGCUUCUUAAAAGGGCCAAUCUUGAAGCUGGUGAACUUGGGAAGCUGGUAGAGAAACUAAAAAAUGAGAUUGAGUUACAGAAUAGGAGAAGGCAUGCUUUGGAUGCUCGGGCUAGUGAAGCUGAAAAGAAAGUGCAAGAACUUAAUUUGAAAUUGGAAAAUCUUGAAAAAACAAAUGAUGAGCAAAGGCAUAGAAUUCAGAAAACUGAACGUGCUCUUAAAGUGGCAGAGGAAGAGCUUAUGAGGGCACAGCUAGAAGCAACUGCGAAGUCAAAGGAGUUGUCACAGGCUCACGGAGCUUGGUUACCACCUUGGCUUGCUGCUCAUAUCAGUCAUUAUCAGGAACUUUCAGCAACUUACUGGAAGGAGCAUGCAAAACCUGCAUUAGAUGUUAUCCUUGAGAAGGCUUCUGAGAAAUUAGUUCAGGCACAGAAAUGGGUGGAGCCCCAGUUGGAAAUAGCCAAAACUAAAUGGGUUCCUGCUAUUAAAGAGCGAUGGGUGAUUCUUGUGACCAAUGCUGAGCCCUAUGUGCAAAUUGUAUAUACUAAAACAGUAGAAGUUUAUCACACAUCUAAGGGUACCAUAGCCACAUAUGUUAUCGAGGUGCUGGAACUGGCAGAUCCCUACUUCCAGGUAAUGAAGAAAUUUUCCAAACCGUAUAUUAAUCAAGUUGCUACUAUCACCAAACCGCAUGUUGAGCAGAUGCAAGUCUAUUUGAAACCCUAUACAAAGCGGGUAGUUCUUGCUUAUGGAAAGUUUCUUAAAUCAGCAACAACUUAUCACCGUCAGGUCCAAGCUGGCAUCCGGGAACAUUUAAAGCGUUAUGAAUUGACAAAAGUUAUUGCAACUAAAGAGCUGGUGUGGUUCAUGGCUUCUGCUCUGUUGGCUUUACCUAUUUUCCUUGUAUACAGACUCUUAUUAAAUACAUUCUGCUCUAAGAAGACAAUAAAGUCAACACGAAAUGGCGAUUCAAACCACACACACCGCAAGCCUAAGCAUAGGCAUGCUGACAAGUAGAGCAUGAUGAUAUUUUUCAAGGAAAGAGACACCAGAAGAUUGGAUUCUUAUAUUGAGACAGAAAUUGUAGGAUAUACUGUUACUAUCUGAAGCACGUAAUGGUCGAUUAUGCUGUUUAUCCCAGAUGACUGCCGAACUCGGAAUUGGCAGUGUACCAUACGUUCUACUUUGAUGUCCAGGGCAAAUUUGUUUGGGGGUUUCCAAAAAAGGAAAAAGAAUUAUACUUAGAUAUUGCAGAAUUCUGCAGUAAAGAGUGGCAGUCUGCAUGAUGUUUUGAGUUGUUUCACCUGUUAUUUAUUGCUUUAACAUAAAUUCCUGUUCUUUGAACUCUGUGACCAUCCUCCCUGUUAAAAAUUACAGUUGUUAUGUUGGAUUGCUUUGUCAUGAUUGGUUGUUGAUGGGUC